GAUAAUCUGUGGAACAAAAACAUACUGGAAGGCUGCCAGAGCUCACAGCUGACUCAACCACAUCGAUGUUAAUUUCAGCGCAGUUUUACUGAAUUCCUUUAAUUCGUUUCUAUUUAGUGUUUUCUAAACAGGAUUGUGGGGAAGCAGGAUUCAGUCCCAGGGGAGACUGGGCACAAGGUGGUGGAUAUACUGGACUGGGUGCCAAUCCAUUGCAGGUCAUAAUCACACACUCGCACUCUGGACAAUUUAGAGAUGACAAUCAACACAUGAUUUGGACUGGGGAGAUCAUGGAAAUAUAAGACAUGUGUUUACAAACCAGUAAGCUCACACAUACAGUAUGAUGAGUUUCAGGUAAAAACUGAUUCAUACUGAGUUAUUUAAUCUAGUCUAAGUAAUAAAUGAUCUAGACACAACAUAUACUCAUAUUGUGUAGGGCAAGACAGGAUAUGAAAUCAGCAACAUGAGAAAAUAAUACAGAUACAAGUCAAGAGCUUCAGUUAAACUACACUUCAAUUCCCAAAAUGGGGUAAAAGGUGACUUCAGUUACUAGUGUGCUUAGACACACUAGUUUGUUUGUUUGUUUAUUUAUGUAUUAAUCUAUUUAUCUAUGUAUGUAUGUAUGUAUGUAUGUAUGUAUGUAUGUAUGUAUGUAUGUAUGUAUGUAUGUAUGUAUUUAAAUGUAAACAGUUAAAAGUAUGAAAAUCGAGGAUCAUGGAAAAGCAGUAGAGGUACAGAGUAGGUGUAUCUAAUAAUUUCAAAAUAAACUAUAAUAUUAUAGUUAUAUAUUUAAUAUAUAUAUAUAAAUCUGCAACUAUAGACACUCCUUAAACAUAUUUUAGAGACAACUACAACCUCUGUGUUUUUUGCCGGUAGGGGAAUAUGUCUAGAGUAAUACAUGUGCUGGACACACCCCAAAACAUUACCGGGUCUUUUUCAGUAUUCACUCACUUUCAUUCUGUCUCUUACUCAAGCUUUGCACCAGAAUGAUGUAUACAACUAGUAUCUUUUGUUUGAUCUUAUUUUUGUUUAUAGGAUGGACAAAUUGUGCUAAAGUUCAACAGAGUUCUUCAUUCCUAGUCAAUAAAACCCAGAAUGUAA